rnacentral:rRNA from 1 species
UGGGGAAUAUUGCACAAUGGGGGAAACCCUGAUGCAGCGACGCCGCGUGAGCGAUGAAGGCUUUCGAGUCGUAAAGCUCUGUCCUAUGGGAAGAUAAUGACGGUACCAUAGAAGAAAGCCUCGGCUAAUUACGUGCCAGCAGCCGCGGUAAUACGUAAGGGGCGAGCGUUGUCCGGAAUUAUUGGGCGUAAAGAGUGCGUAGGCGGCAAAUUAAGUCAGAUGUGAAAACUAAGGGCUCCACCCAUAGAUUGCAUCUGAAACUGAUAUGCUUGAAUCAAGGAGAGGAAAGAGGAAUUCCUAGUGUAGCGGUGGAAUGCGUAGAUAUUAGGAGGAAUACCGGUGGCGAAGGAGACUUUCUGGACUUGAACUGACGCUGAGGCACGAAAGCGUGGGGAGCAAACAGG